rnacentral:rRNA from 1 species
UACGUAGGGCGCAAGCGUUGUCCGGAAUCAUUGGGCGUAAAGAGCUCGUAGGCGGCCUGUCGCGUCCGCUGUGAAAUCCCGGGGCUUAACCCCGGGCGUGCAGUGGAUACGGGCUGGCUGGAGGCAGGCAGGGGAGAACGGAAUUCCCGGUGUAGCGGUGAAAUGCGCAGAUAUCAGGAAGAACACCCGUGGCUAAGGCGGUUCUCUAGUACGGUACUGACGCUGAGACGCGAAAGCGUGGGGAGCGAACAGG